CGGGGCGUAGCGCAGCCUGGCCAGCGCACCUGAAUGGGGUUCAGGGGGUCGGAGGUUCAAAUCCUCUCGCCCCGACCA
rnacentral:tRNA from 1 species